rnacentral:rRNA from 1 species
UAUUUUAUUUUUAAAAAUUAAAUUUUAAAGAAUUAAUAAUAAAAGAGAUAUUUAAAAAGUAUUAUUUAAAGAAACAAUAAUUUUUUAUUAUACUGAAAGGGAAAAUUGAAAAAUUUAAAAAAUUUAAAAUUUAAUUAGUAUUUUUUUGUUAGUACCUUUUGCAUUAGGGUUAUUUAAAAUAAAUUAAGUAUUUUAUAUUUCCCGAAAUAAUUGUUGAGCUAUUUUAAAUUAUAUGUUGUUUAUUACAAAAACUUUCAUAAAUUUAAUAUAGGAAUGAAAUUUUUUUCAUAAUUUAGGAUAUCUGGUUAUUAAUAAUAAAACUUUAUGUUUUUCUAUAAAAUUGUUAUACUAAUUUUAUUUUAUAGAAAUUUAAAUUAGGGAUUAGCUUGAUUUAUAAAUUUAUAUUAAAUUAAAAGGUAAAUUUUAUGAAAGGAAUAUAAUUGUCUAUGUUUUUUUAUAAAAGUGUAUGUUUUAUAAUAUUAUUUAUUAUAUAAUUAAAUUGGUUUAAUAAUAUAUUUAAUAUAGAAAUAUGUAUAAAUAUGAAUAAAUUAGUAUAAAAUAAAAAAUAAAAUUAGUAAGAUAAUUAAAUAAAUUAAAAAUUAAUAGUUAAUUAAUAAAAAGGAAUUCGGCAAAUAUAUAAGUUGACUGUUUAUCAAAAACAUUUCAUUUUGUUUUUAUAAAAUGUAUAAUCUGCUCAAUGAGAAUUUAAAUUGCUGUGGUAUUUUGACUAUACGAAGGUAUUGAAAUAAGACUUUUAAUGAGUGCUAAGAGAAUGGUUGGACAAUUUAUAACUGUCUUUUUUAUUUAAAAUUAAAAUUUAAUUUUUUUGUGCAAAAGCAAAAAUUUAUUUAAGGGACAAGAAGACCCUAUGAAUUUUUAAUUUUUUUUAUUGUUUUAAAAAACAAUAAAAAAAUUUAGUUGGGGCGAUUAAAAAAGAAUAAAAAUCUUUUUCUAAUUAAAAAAUUGAUCCAUUUGUUAGUGAAAAUUUGAAAAAAAUACUCUAGGGAUAACAGCGUUAUAAUUUUGGAUAGCACAUAUUGAUAAAAUUGAUUGCGACCUCGAUGUUGGAUUAGGAUUCUUUUUAAAAUGAAGAAGUUUAAAAAAGAAGUUUGUUCAACUUUUAAAAUCCUACAUGAUCUGAGUUCAGACCGGCGUAAGCCAGGUUGGUUUCUAUCUUUAAAUUAAAUUUCUUUAAUUAGUACGAAAGGAAUAUUAAAGAGUAAUAAUUAUUUUAAAUUUAUUCAUAAAAAAAAUAAAAAUUAGAUAUUAUAAUUGUUUCAAUUAAAGAAAUUUAAUUUAAAGAUAGAAACCAACCUGGCUUACGCCGGUCUGAACUCAGAUCAUGUAGGAUUUUAAAAG